rnacentral:rRNA from 1 species
UACAGAGGGGGCAAGCGUUGUUCGGAAUUACUGGGCGUAAAGGGCGCGUAGGCGGCCUGGUAAGUCGGACGUGAAAUCCCCGGGCUCAACCCGGGAACUGCGUCCGAUACUGGCAGGCUUGAAUCCGGGAGAGGGAUGCGGAAUUCCAGGUGUAGCGGUGAAAUGCGUAGAUAUCUGGAGGAACACCGGUGGCGAAGGCGGCAUCCUGGACCGGCAUUGACGCUGAGGCGCGAAAGCCAGGGGAGCAAACGGG